CGGGGUUGGUGUGGCAAGGCAGAGGCAAGCUAUCACAGAUGGCUUGAGAGAGAACAUCUUGCAAUUCUCUAACAAGGUAGAAGGAACUUCAGCGAAGGAAGUUAUGGAUCUUAUCAUGAUUACUCAAUACUUUGACACAAUCAGAGACCUUGGAAACAAUUCAAAGAAUACCACAGUUUUUAUACCUCAUGGACCUGGCCAUGUUAGGGAUAUUGGUGAUCAAAUUCGCAACGGUAUGAUGGAAGCAUCGUGUGCUCAAGUUACUGAUGUUGAGUGAUUUUGUAAAAUUGCAUUUUAUCAAAGUACACUCCUGUUUCUUCUAUCUUUAUCACAGUGUCACAUACAUAAAAUAGUAAUUUCUUGGUAAUAUAUGGAUAUGUCAUUUGUUUAUUUAUGUUGGAUUUUAUGAAGAACAGUUUUGAACAGUUUGAAGUUGUAAAUGAAGAUGGUUGAGUUGUCUAUACAAUCUCUGUAGCCAUGCUAUAUAUUCCUUGACAUUGUAAUCUUAUGAGAAUUCAAAAGAUGAUAUAUAAUCUUCUGCUUUAUAUUAACUUAUCUUUUUCCUAUAGUAUCAAAAGUAUAGUUGUUUUUAUAUAUAUGGUUGUUGAUUUGACAAUGUCACCACUAAUCAUAAUUAAUAAUGUUUAAAACUGUGAUUUGUGUUCAAUGAAUGACUAUUGAGUAGCAAUAUCUUGUUAUAUUCAUUUAUCAUCCACUGAACGCAAUUAACAAUGUGUUAGAAUUGCGUUAAAACCAACCAAAUUGUUGACAAAAAUUGUUCCAUUUUGUGUCAAAAUAACAGUCCGGUACUUUCUCAUUUGUGUAUGUCUUGAAGUGUUGCUAUGUUAUUAUGCAAUCAAAUUUCGAUAGCAUAUGACAUAUUCCAGUAGUCCAAAUCCAAGUGUCAUCUCUAGAACCAGCUGCAAAAUCCACUGCCAGAAAUGAUAAUAUGAUAAGGAAUAAUCCAGGAAAACUGUAGCUUCCAAGAUAUAUACUGCUCAACAAGAUAAAACUGAAAAGAAUCAAAUGAAAGAUGCUAUGCAGAUAUAUUGUGAACACGGAUCCUCUGAAUCCGUGCAGCCAAAUUUCGACAGUUAGAUCAAGGUAGAAACCAGAUUCAACAGUCUGCUGUAUCAACAGAAGAGUAUCUGGGCUGAUCUGUUGUAGGUGUUAAUCUUACCGAAAAGCUAUUGGUAUAACAAUUAUAACAUUACCAGUUCCAGCAAUUGCAAUAAAGUUAUCUCAACGAGAAUUGAAAUUGUUACAAUGAAAGGGAAACAUAAUCAAGUUAAUAAUAAAGGAAACAUUGUGAAAAACAUUGAGCAUAGUCAUAGAGUAAUAUUAACAACCUUGAGGAAUCUGAUAAUCGGAAGUUCGGCUGAAAGGUAAGUGAAACUUGGUUAAAGAUUGCUUUACCCAGGGUUCGAACUCAUGUACUCCCGAUUGAUUCAAUAUUCACUGAAACCCGUAAGAAUGAAUGAUGUCAAACAAAACAAAUGCAUACAAAAGCCUGUUGAUGGGCUCAUUUCGUCCAACAUGAUAACCCUACCUUGCAAACACAGGAAACAAUGCUGCUUGUAAGACACUAACUGUACCUACAGAUUCCCUUCAUGUAUAAAUUUUAUCAUUAUUUUCCUAAAGGCUCAAUUGAUUGUUAGUUCGCAACAAAAUGCUGACGGAGACCAUGAAUGACUACGUAAUAACUUCAAAGUCCAAAAUGAUUUCGCUUAUUUAUCAAAAGAUACAGAUGAUGAUUCCUAUAAAUACAGUUCAACAAAAUAUUGUGACAAAUGGUGGUUUCCUACACCAAGGUUCCCACUAGAAGGUUUCUGCAGUAAUAGGAAGUUUGUUAGACUCAAAUACUAGUGCAAGCCCGAGCAAGAAAAUGCUCAAAACUUAUUAAAAAUGGAAAUCAAUGAGUCAAGAAGAGCUAGUAUAUGCUUGGUAGAAUUUAUCUUCAUUCACACUGAUAUUUUUCAUAUAAAACAAAGUUUUGUUUAUUUUUCUUCCUUUACAUAAAACAAGACCAAGUUAAGGGAGAAGAGUAUUACAGUAACAGACAGAUGAAUUUCUUUCAACCUCAUCAAUUCCUAGAGAAAAUGGACAAGCUAUGAGAACAUAAUAUCAUAGUCCUAGAUCUCCAAAACAUACCUGUGAUUGGAAUCAGAAGCACAAACAGGAAGUAAGUUUUCAUUUUACAAAGAUAUAAGCACAAGAUCCACCAAAUCUCAGUCUAGUCCAACUUAGUGUACAAACAAUCCACAUCAUGCAGCAGAAAAAACUCACUAGAUGCAUAAAGCAACAGCGAUUUUAGGGCUUUGCCAGUUAACCAAACUAUCGAGACACUGGUUCCUCCUCAUACACAAUGCAGUCAGGGACAAAAGAAUUGAAACUGCCUCACAAAUAUCACUGCAGAGAGAACAGUUCACUUGUUGCAGCUUUUGUAUCAGGGAUUAGGGUUGAAGAGCACUUUCUUUAUCUACCAAUAGUCUUUGCAAGAACAAACUCCAUUUUUGAAGUGGUGAUACCUCAUCCUAUCUCGUACUAUAAUUACUCGAUCAUAAACCUUAGAGAUAAAUUUUGUCGCAUGAUGACAAUCCGCACAAACUCUUAAAUUUUUCACUAUGCAAAUUGGAGUUCCUGGUGCUGUGUUCAUCAGUCCAAAAGCAAUAGCCAACUUCUCACUGUGUACAGAAAGAGCAGUCUCUUUAUCUUCCUCAUCAUCAAAAUCAAGCAAAACUUCCCCUAACUCGGGAACAUACCCGGCAAUCUUCAACUUGCUUAUCAUCUCAUCCAAAAAUGAAUAAAUCUCCUUACUCUUAGGAUGUGAUCGAUCACCAACAAGGAAUUGAUGGAAUAUCCCAUUCAAUUCAAUUGAGCUGAAACCAGGAAUUUUUUUCCUGUCACUGUUGAUUUCAUUUUUCUCUCUUAGCAUCCUUGCUUCAUUCCAUCUUUCUGAUGUAGAAUAUAUAUUACCCAGCAAAACAUUACAGCCUAUAUGGUUAGGAUCAAUUUCUUUAAUUAUCCUACCUAUUCUAUAUCUGCGCUCCAUAUCUUUAUAGAUUCUACAAGCAUUCAACAGUGCUCCCCAAAUCGCAACAUCCGGAGCCAUUGGCAUGCUCAAAAUCAUCUCUUCAGCAUCCUUCAAGAGCCCGGAGCGACUAAGUAAAUCUACCAUACAUCCAUAAUGCUCUAUUUCAGGAUUAAUUCCGUAAUCGCUACCCAUCAAUUCAAAAUAUGAUUUUCCCUCCUUAACCAUAUAGCCAUGGCUACAAGCAUUUAAUAAGGCAAUGAAUGUUACUUUAUUAGGAGAAACUCUUUCAACCUUCAUUUUUUAGAACACAUUUAUAGCUUCUUCAGGUUUUCCAUGCAUUGCAAACCCACCAAUCAUGGCAUUCCAUGGCCAAACCUUUCGCUUCACUUUGUGUUCACAGAAAACACUUGACGCAGAUUCUAUCUCUCCACACUUUGCAUACAUGUCAAUGAGGCUAGCAAGAAGUCUAUCAUUCAUCUUAAUCUCGCCCCUGCGAAUGUACACAUGGAUCCAAUUUCCCUGAUCCAAUGCAACAAGUUUCGAACAGGCUGCAAGAGUGCUUACCAUGGUAUAUUCAUUUGGUUUAACCUCGGAUUGCAACAUUUUGUGGAAUAAGUCCAAAGCCUCCAUGAAACAGCCAACCUAGAGUAUGCAUAAAGUAACUUUAGACAGAGUACAUAUACAAUCAAGUUAAAAUAAUAAAAUAUAGGCAAAAUACAUUUUGCGAAGUUGUUUAAUUGUACGAAAUCAAUCCUUUAUUUUUUUUUGUUCCUUGAUAGGUCCUUUAAGUUCCAAAAUGUGGACGUCGUUUCCUUUUCUGUGUUUCAGUUUAGCUGCAUUUUGAUACUGAUGUGUAGAUUAAAAAAGCCAUUCCUUGGCUCGAAUCAUAUUACCGGAUCCAACAUACGCACCAAUCAUAGCGUUCCAACUAUACAAAUCUCUAUAUACAGCCAAAUCAAAAACCUUCCUCGCAUCCUCCACAUCUCCCCACUUUCCAAACAUACCAAUCAACGCAUUCACAACAAACACAUUACAAUCCAACCCAACUUUCACAGCAUGUAAAAAAACCUGCUCCCCUUCCCUCACACAUAACCCAUUUCCACAAGCACCAAAAGCAAACACAAAACUAUACCGAUUCGGGAAAAACCCUGAAUCCCUAGUCAACAAUUUAAACACUGCGACGGAAUCACGAUACGAAUGGUUUGACAUAGAAUGUGCUUUGAUCAUGGUGUUGUAAAUGAAUAAAUCUGGGUGAGGAAUUUUAUCAAACAGUUUGUAUGCAUAAGUAAGAGAAGCUAAAGCAACCUGUUUAACAAAUUUGUUGGCUAUAACACGGUGUGAGAUUUGUGCUGUGGUGAUUAAGUUUGCAUGGGUUUGUUUAAUUUGAUUAAUAGAUUUACAUAAAUCAAUUAAAGAGCUAUGUUUUGAAUGGUUAACAUAAUGAAAAAGGUUUAGUGUCACAGCCAGUUUGUUAUACCUUUUUUUAAAACAGAUUUUUGUAGUGUAAUAUGUUUUUGUUAUAAUAUUUUUAACAAUUAUUUUUUGAAGGAAAACUUUAAAUAAAAAAUUUGUUUGAAUAGUUUAUCUUCAAAUGUCAUUCUAAGGUUUUGUUUGAUAAAAAUAGCGGAUAGCUGAUAAACUAUCUGAUAGGUGAUAGCUUAAUAUAAAAUGACAUAAAAGGACAUUCUUAAUUUGUAUUAAAAUUUAUAACAAUUAAUAUUUAAGAUAUAUAUAUUCAGUAAUUUAAAUUUAUUAAUUUAAUAAAUAUUUUAUAUAUUAUCAAAUUAAUAUUUUGCUAAAAUUUUAUUUUUUCUAUUCCAAUUUUUAGACUUUAUAAAAAAUUAAAGUAUGAAUGAUUUUAUUUCAGUUUUUAUACUUCAAAAAAAUUAAACAUAACAUUGAACUAAAAGUAUUUUGAUCAUAACAAAGCUCAAUGUGUCAUCGUGGGCUUAGCUUAGUUGAUAAGGACAAUGUCAUAACAUAUGUAAGGUCCGGGUUUAAACCCGAGGCACCACCAAAAGCUCAAUGUAACACCUUUUCAACAAUAAAAAUAAACUCUCUAAAAGAACGAGAGGAAGAAGGAGAGGAGAGAAGAAUGAUGUGCGAUGGAAGAAGGAAACGCGAUGGAGGAGAGAAGGAGGAAAUCUGGAAGAAAGAAAAAUAUUUCCCUUAUAUAUGUGCCAUGUGGGAUUUGCCACGUGUGCAUCACUAACGGGCAAAUGACAGACCAGCUUUGCUAUUCAGUACGGAUAUUUCUGUGCGGAAUUUCACGGACGCGUGUGAAAUUUAACGAUCCACGCGCUGCAAUUGCUUAAGUCCUACUUUUAUUUUUUAAUAAAAAUUCAGACAAAAUAAAUUCUUUUGUUUAAUCAGUUUUCAAUAUCUCUUCUAACAAACUAUCAGAAGCGUUCUUCUCUCCUUUCCUUCUCUACGUUGUCACUCAUCACCAUCCACCAUAUUUAGUUUUCUGAAAGGAGCAAUUUCUCCGUUGAUCAUUUUCGUCCGCCGUCGCUCAGUCAUCGCCAACCACCACAACUCGCCAGGAAACGCCGCCGAAGUUGGUAAUCUCCACCGCGAUUAAAACAUUACGUCGGAGACAGUAAAAGUAAUUAAAAAUGAAGUGAAACAACUCAAACAAAGUGGUAAUUUUAUAAUUAGAAGAUGAAAACAUAAAAUUAUUUUGAGAUUGAGAUUGAUAUUGAUAUUUAAGUCUAGAUAUAAUCUAAAUGCAAAGAUCAUGUAGAGAUAAUAUGUGUAUGAUGAAUAUGUAUUUCGGUUAUGUAUUGUUUUGUUUAUUCCGCCCAUAAGUUAUUGUGCUUAUUUCUGACCUUUGCAAGUAAUGGCUGUCAGUUAGGUUCCAGAAAACAACUGUUGUGUGUAUGUAUAUUAGAGCAAUAGCAUAAUAAAACAAGAAUUGCUCUGCAUUCAAUAUAUUGUUCCUCUGUUGAUUGGUUGUACUUUAGAAGACAAUGAUAAUAUUGUUGCUUCUGUCGUAAGGUUAUGGUCAAAAGUGAACCAAAAGAUUAUGAUCAAUAAUUAAGGAACAAUUUUGGUUUUAUAAAACAACUGUUAUUUGUUGGUGUGUAUAUGAUAGCAGUAAUCUAAGAAAGGAAGUAUAAUUCUGCAUUCAUCAUUUUGUUUCUUAGUUAUUUGGCUGUACAUCAGAAUAUGACUUCUGCAAGGUGUUAAAGCAGGACUAUUCUAUGAUAUAAUCUCCUAAAAUUUACGUUUCUAUAAAUUAUAUUGAUUAAUUCUCUGUGAAUUGGAAGUUUAAGGGAAGUCAAAUACUUAUUUUGUAUAGUUAUUUCUUUGAUUGCGAUUUUUUGCAGCUUUCAUCUCACCUUUUCUCGGAUCUCCUUGAUUCCAUUAUAGUUGAUGUGGCAUCAGAGUGUCACAGAGUAGCCAAGCUAGGGCUUGACACUAAUUUGGUUGAAGAAGAUGAAGAAUUGAAGUUAUUGUGCAGGAUGUCUCUUCCUUUGCUGAAGUGUUCAAUGCAGCCUGUAGACCCACACCAGGAAUGAAUAGCAGCAGAGAGCCUAUACCAGAGUCCUCAAAAGGUUGGAAAAGCCCUCCUUUGGGUGUUUUGAAAGAUGCGAGAUGCUUUGAAGAUGGGCACACAUGUUGGGGUCUGAUCGUUAGAAACCAUGAGGGUGCGGUCAUUACGGCAAAAAGAAAGAUUGAAAAUGUGUCCAUGACUCCAAUCCUAGCUGAAGUUGUGGGACUAUGAUGGUGCUUUAAAUUGGCUUUCAGGAAAAAGAGAAAAUUAAUAUUGAGCAUUUGGAUUUUAGGAGGUCUGUUAAGACUAUCCAUGCAAUGUAAUAUUACUCAUGUCUAUGUUAUACAUGUCAAUGAAUAAAAAGUCCAUCUAACAUCAAUUUGUGUACUUCAAGUUUUAAUAUUCUUUAGUAUUUCUUUUGGCAUCAAUAACAUGAUAUUCCUUCCAAAUAAAAGGCUAUAGAUUUUUUUUAAUCGGCAAAUUAUUCUCGUCGAGAUUGUGUAAGGAACACGAAAAUCUCGCGGAUAAAAUCAAACAAGAAGUAACGAGUACACAUGAACACUAAUACAAACACCUACCAAAACCACCCAUAACAAAGCUAAAAUCAGAAGCUUUAUAUUCCAAAUUUGGUUGCUGCUAAAGGGUAAAAAACACUGAAGCAGAAACAAAACUGAACCAAAAAGAAAAAAAAACACAUAACUAGCACUAAACAACCCAUUCCACCUAACAAUAAUGCUUGACCAAAACAGCCGCACACAUGCUCAAAAGUGAAUACUGCAGACCCUCAUGCCUUGACUACAGAAAAACCAGACAGCAGUUCAAACCAAAAACAGCAGUGUUAUGGUUUUGUGACCUGAGAGUAAUAAGGAGCCUGCAAAGAAUAUAUAAUUAACCACUUAUGUUCAUUAUAAAAAUGUCAAAUAAAAACAAAACAACACCAAAAUCUAUAUUUGCACCUUGUUUACUUGACCAAAAUGUUCUUGAUUUGGAUUGAAGGAAGCUACAGUAUUCACACUACCAUUUUCACUGCUACAAACAUAGUUAUGCUCCUGUUAUAGAUAUUAACAUGCAAAAACAUAGAUAAAUAGUAUGCAAUAUCAUAUUGAAUAUUUCAAAUAACAAAAAGCCAAUCAUUUUUAAUUAAAUGAAAGUAAGAAAUCAGGUUUACUUGAAUAUUGUCUUGUGUCCCAGUCCCAUCAAAAAUUUGAUACCUAAGAAACUCUUCAUUUGUAGUAUUUUGAACUACAUGCAAUCUUAGUCUCUGUCAUAAAAAAAACUAUAAUUAGACACACCCACAUGUACACACACACUACUGUGUUUAACUACAUAAAUAGUACCAUUCAACCAUUUAAAACUAUGUUCACACUAAAAUAUUUACAUAGAAAUAUUUACACUAAAAUAUUUAGUAUAUGCUUUGUUUACUUGAAUGCUCUCUUGUGUGCCAAUUCUAUCACCAAGUUGAGAUUUGUAAAACACUUCGUCUUCAAUUUCUUGACCUCUAGAUGUACAUUGGCCCUGCCAUAAAAAUUAUUAAAUUAGACAUCUCAACUAUUAUACCUAUAAUAUCAACAAAUUGCUAUAAAUUUCAUACUCACCUCUUCUUGAACUUGAAUAUUUUUACUACUUUGGUUGCUUUUUUUAGUUUUCUUUUGUGCAAGCUUCUUCUUCACAAUCUGAUCAACUAUAGAAGUCUUCCUUUUUGAAGGAGGACGCCCUUUACUUCGAGCUAGUUUAGGAUCAAGAAUGAUAGCUUGAUUUUGAGCUGAACAAUCUUCUUCUACAAUUCUAGGAGAUGUUUCAUUACAUGGUAACUCAAUUUUCAUGUUUUGAAUCAAGUUCAUCACUUUCACUAAAUCAUCUUCACUAUUUAUCCUCGUUGAAGCAAACUCAUAAAAGGCAUCACAAGCUUUACCCACACGUUGCAAUUCAGUUUUUCCAGCCAAAUUAUCAAAACCGCAUUUAAUAAGUGUAUACCUCCGCUUUAUAUCCUUCCUCCACCGUGCCAAAAUAUAAUUAGAUGGCACAAAAUCUGUUUUCCCUAUGAGCUUAAGCACGCAAAGGAUGUGCCUACAUAAAAUGCCUUUAAAUUCAAACAAGCAGCAGGUGCAUUUUAACACAAAGUCUUUUUCAUUGAAGAACACCAUCAACACAAUAUCUUUCAUCGUGUCAUAUACUUUCUUACUUUCUGUAACAGAAAAUAUUGAAUCCAAACCCUCCAAUCUGUUGAAACAUGCAUGACAGUACAUCAUAGAAGCUAUUUCCAAUUGGAAUUCCUGAAACUUUGCAUUGGUAAAUGCUUUUUGGAAUUGGAACUCAAAACCAAAGUGACUAAUACAAAAAAUAACUGUAUUAAAAGAACGAAAGUCAGCAAUUUUUUCCUUUUCAAUUUUGUCUUUCAAUGCAUUAUCAUAUUUCUCAACAAAUUGCUUCAAUGUUGUCUUUGAGCUUACAUAUCCAUCAAAAAACGAGUUCAUACUUUCACUUCGUUGUGUAGUUGACAUUCCAGCCUAAAAUGUGUCCCUUACAUAUGCAGGGACCCAACGAUGUCGCUCAACAAAUAACCCUUUCAACCAUUCGUUAUCCUGUAGUUUGUAACACUCAAUCAUAUUUUGCCACCUCGUCAUAAAAUCACUUUUGGUAAAAGAAUCAUAUACAAUAUCAUGCAAAAGUGUUUUGAUAGACUCGUAGUCAGAGUGGCUACCAAACUUUUCUAGAAUCUUUUUCAUUAAAUGCCAUAAGCACCACCGAUGACGAGCUUUCGGAAAGACAAUCUCAAUUGCAUUCUUCAUUGCUCUGUCUUGAUCAGUGAUUAUGUCAUUUGGAGAACUUCCAUGCAUACAUUCCAACCAUAUCUUAAAUAACCAAGGAAAAGUUUCAGUAUCCUCGUUUGACAACAGAGCACAACCCAACAACAUAGACUGACCGUGAUGAUUUACUCCAACAAAAGGAGCAAAAGGCAUGUCAUAUUUAUUUGUUAAGUAAGUGGUGUCGAAAGUUAUGACUUCACCAAAAUAUUCAUAUGCAACCCUACAUCUUGCAUCUGCCCAAAACACAUUUUGUAACCGAAUUUCAUCAUCCACAUCCAUCACAUAAUAAAAUUGACUGUUUUGCUUUUGUAUCCUCACAAAAUAAUUUUGUAUUGCUUCAGCAUCUCCUGUCCCAAGUCACAGUCGUCUUACUUUGUCUAUGUAGUUUUUGCAGUCUUUUUCUCCAAAUGUGAGAUUUUCAUACCCAUCUGCUUCAACAACAAAGGAUCGGAAAUUUCUACUUACAUUAAUCCCAGCUUGGUCAUUGAGUUCUAACCUCCUCUUCAUUUGUGCCCCUAUAUUCUUGUUCGAUCUAAAAUACCUUGCUUUCCCUGGACUUAGAUCAUGAUUAUGCUAAAAAAAAAACACUUUUAAUUUUAGUUGUUCCGUCUAAAGAAAUACACGCAUUCAAUCUAGCCUUACACUGCGUUUGAGUUAUAGGAUUUGGCUCUAACAUAUUCUUUGGGCGACUCACAUACUUUCUAGCUCGACUACAUGCUAAGGUAAAAUACAUUUUCCCCUCAUCUCCUUUUUUUGAACUUAUUUUUUUAACUCCAAAACCCACCCGUUCAACAUAAUUCUUGUAAUACUCAGUAAUUUCCUUUUCAGAUCCGAAUGACAUCCCAUCACAAGGUGUUUCUUCUUCACAAGUACCAUUUGCUUCUAAACAAUCAUUAGUUUCCAAUUCAUCACAAGACUCAAAUCCUUUUUGCACUAAUACAACAAAUUAGAAGAAAAAAAAACCUAUAUUAAUUGACUAACACAAUAAAGUAAAUGAAAAAUCAAUCGAUCAGCACAAAAUUCCUUCUAAUAAUCUAUAAAAACAACAAAUACACAAAAUACUUACUUGUAGGUAAAUUAAAACUGAAAUACUCUGCUUGAGUGCUAUGAAUCAAUGGAAGCUAUGAUGGUAAGCAAAAACAGAGUUACAUGAGAAUGAAUAUGAGACCUGAUUCAAAGAGACGAGCGUGAAAAAGAGAGCGACGACCCUAUAUCACAACAAUUGAGAUUGAAUGUCAAUCAGAUUCUUUGAUUAGCGGAAAAGAGGAGAUAAUUGCAGCGGGAGUGGUGAACGUGGGUUCUUUUUUGUAUGUUUUUGUUUUGGUGAACGGUGGGUUUCACUUUCAUUUCUAUUAAGGGAUUUUAUUAUUUAUUUAAUUUAAUCUUGUUUUUUUUUUUGACAAAGAAACUGCAGCGCGUAGCACUAACACGUUUUCACGCGUCCGUAAUUUUCCGUAUUCAAAGUUUUCGUACGAUAUAUCAUUUUCCAUGACAGAAAGAAAGGACCAAGUGUAGUUACGGAGGUGUACGUAUAAAGUUAUGGGACUAAGGUACCGUUUGCCCCGGCUUUUUUUUUUCAGUUUUUCUACGUUUUUAAGGAGAAGCUAGGCCAAACACAAUAUCAAUAAAGUACCUUCGAAAAAAAGUAUCUUUUUUAGAAUGCAUAAAAUUGAAUGGAAUGAGCUUUAAUCAAAAGUUGUUGAAUGCUACUUCAAAAAACUAUUUCUCCCCAAUUUAUUUCACGAACACCUCUCUUCAACUCCCGCCGGCGACCUUUUGUUUUAUUUUUUCAAUACACUUUUUUCUUCCAUUUUAUUUUUUUUAACUGGUCCAUUUAAUUUUUUAAUGAGGUUCCAUUUAAGUUUAUUAUCUAUUUUUUUAAGGAAUUUUAUUAUCUUUUUAUCACUUAUAUAUUAAUUUCAAUAUCUUUUGAUCAUCACAACCACGCAAAUAUUUGUAUUCAUGCUGUCAAUGAAUGACACCGAAUAUUUUUAUUCCCUUUCUUCAACCACGGAAAUACACACACACAUUAGUGUUUAGAGUAAUAUUUUAUGUUCCUCUUUCUUGUUUUUUUUUUGUUAUGCUAAUGCGUAUAAUUUUUGUUAGUGUUGUGUAAUGCGUAUAAUUAUUUUUAUAAAAUUUUGAUUUUAAUUAAAAGUACAAGUGUAGUUGCCUAAAAAAAUUAUACUUAUAUAUAAUUUACACAUUUGUAUUGUAACAAACUAUGCAUAUCUUUUUCUUAUUAAAAAAACUAAACAUAUCUUUUUCAAUGACACCAGCAAUGUAACAAAUAUAAUAUUAUAUAUAUAAAUUCUUAUCUUUUUGACCAACACUAAAAAUAUGGUAUUCUUAUAACAAAAUUUGUUAUAGAGUAUAAUUGGAAAAGAAAAAACCAAUUAUUCUCAUUAUAUAUACACACAUAUACAUAUUAUAGAUAUGAUUGAGCGUGACGAAGAAAGCAAUAUAAAUGAAGAAAUCAGUUCAUAUAAUCCAGGAAGAGUGCAAGAUGGAGGCUACAUGAAUAAAGUUAGAAAUCAAAUAGGAGUUGCGUUGAUGGAGAGUAGAAAUAUUUGAGUUUGUGAUGAUUUAUGUCUUUAAAAAAAAAUGAUUAUUGUUUUUAAUUUUCCAAACUACUUUGAUAUUAUUUAUGUUAUUAUUUGAGCCUCCUUAAAUUAUUUAUCCUAUUCAAAUAUUUAACAAGUCGUUUAUAUGAUGAUACAAAUUUGUAUUCAUGUUACACAAAAUAAACGUCAUUGAGUAAAUAUAGUAUUGGUAAAAAUAUAUCGUUUAUAUUUUAAACAUUUUUUCCCUUCAAAAAAUAUUUUAGACAUUUUUUUAUUUAUUAUGUUAAUUCAUAAUGAAUUCAAAGUUUUUUUAUUUAUAGACAAUGCAUAAAUAUAUGCAAGGUCCCGGGUUCGAACCCCAGACACCACAAAAAAAUAAUAAAUUCAAAGUUUUGUACAAUAUUUUGCCAAACAGCUUUUAACUCAAAAAUAACUUUAGAACUAAAAAAAAAUAAAGAAACCAAACAGCCUUAACCUUUUUCUUAAAGAGCUUUAUUUUAACUUUGUUUUAAAGUAUUUUUUAGACCGAAAAAAAGCCUGGCCAAACGGUACCUAAAUCGGGAACAACAAAUAAGUUAAGGGAGGGAUCAUGUAAUUAAUUAAGCCUAUUUUUCACAAAGAAUUGAAACCGUGCAGCUUUAAAAAAGCAGUCUCUCGAAUAUCCAGCAUAAGAAUGAGAUUAGGGUGAGCGACGAGAGCAUUAGAAAAGAAGAGAAGAGAAGAGAGUGAUCGUAUCUCAGUCACCGAAAUCGAUAUCGGAUGAUGAAAAUGAUUCUGUUGAAGGGUUAGGGUUUGGGUUUCAAGCUUCCAUUCAGGAUAGAUGCUUUGGACAACAACUCAUCUUCAACGGUUUUCAAUAGAAUCAUUUUCAUCUUCCUAUUAUUGAUUUCAGUGACUGAAAUUACUUUAAUCAGUUCCUUAAUAGAACACAUACUGAUGGUUGAUAUUAUACCUGAUCCUUCUGUGCAUAUGGCAAUAAUGAAUGAGAUCAAUGCAGGUAUUAAAACUGUUUUUAAGACUGUCUUUUUUCCUUUUGACAUUUUUUUUUGUUGUUGAAAAAGAAAAUACGUAUGUAGCAGUAAAUGUAUGCAUGCAGUAUACUCGGUCACCAAAUUUAGCGAUUUGGUUCUGAAAGAUUACGUCGUAUAUUCUGAAAGAAUCCGGUACCAAAAUACAAUUUAAUUGUAGAAAUUGACUUUUAUUGAUGGAAGAAAUGUUUACAACAGAAACUGAUUUACAUUAUAGACACAUAAACUAAGGAAAGAGAUUUGAUCAAUUUCAUGGGAAUGAGAGGCUUCCUAAGGCUAUGUUGCCUUACUUUAUUGCUUUGAUCCCUAAAGUUAGUUUGCCCAUGGAGUUGAAAGAUUUCCGGCCUAUCUCUUUAUUAGGAUGUCUUUAUAAACUCUUGGCAAAGGUGCUUGCUAGGAGAUUGGCCAAGGUGAUGAAUUUCAUUAUUUCUCAACAUCAAUCGGCUUUUUUAAAGGGGAGGAAUUUGGGGGAUGGAGUAUUGGUGUUGAAUGGAGUUGUGGAUUUUGCUAAGAAAUCAAAUUCGGAAUGUCUCAUUCUUAAGGUGGAUUUUGAGAAGGCUUAUGAUUCUGUGGAUUGGGGUAUUUUGGUGUAUAUGAUGGAGAGGGUGGGUUUGUAUCCUAAGUGGAUAGCUUGGAUGAAAGCGUGUGUAUGUGGUGGUAGUAUGUCCAUUUUGGUUAAUGGUAGUCCAACGGAAGAAAUUAAUAUUCAAAGAGGAUUAAAACAAGGUGAUCCCUUAGCACCUUUUCUCUUUCUUUUGGUGGCGGAGGGUUUUAGUGGCUUUGAAUUUGUUUGAAGGAUUUAAGUUGAAGGAAGAAGGGAAGGUGUACUCGCAUCUUCAAUAUGCCGAUGAUACUAUUUGUGUGGGACAAAUAACGGUGGAGAAUUUGUGGACCUUGAAGGCUUUGCUUAGGGGCUUUGAGAUGGCUUCCGGGUUGAAAGUUUAAUUUUUAUAAGAGUUGUUUGAAGGAUAUUAAUGUGGAGCCGGGCUUUAUGGAAAUGGCGUGCAAUUUCUUGAAUUGUAGUCAAGGUUUCUUUCCGUUCAAGUAUUUGGGGUUACCGGUAGGAGGAAAUCCGGGUAGAAUUACCACUUGGGAUCCUUUGAUAGAUCAAUUGUCUUGGAGGGAGGAUUGUUCUUCUUAAUUCCGUUUUGAAUGCAAUUCCUAUCUUUUAUCUUUCCUUUUUCAAAAUGCCGGUUAGUGUGGUGAAGAAGGUGGUUAGAAUUCAAAGAGAAUUUCUUUGGGGUGGUUUAGAGGGAGGGAGGAAGAUUAGUUGGGUUAGUUGGAAGGUGGUGUGUCAACCGAAAGAGGUGGGUAGACUUGGAGUUAGGGAUGUCUCUUUGGUGAAUUUGAGUCUUCUCGCAAAGUGGAAAUGGCAGUUAUUGCAAGGGGACAAUACACUUUGGAAGGAGAUUCUAGUGGAGAGAUAUAGUCCUAAGGAGUUUUUGGAGGAAGGGGUGGGCGUGUGGCCGGUCAAUGCUUUUAGGUGGUGGAAGGAUUUGGUGUCCUGAGCAAAAGGUAACGAGGUAGAUUGGUUUUAUGAGGUGGUUAGAAAGGUGAGUAAUGGAGCUACAACGAGUUUUUGGAAAUUGGCAUGGAGAGGAGGAGAACCAUUUAUGAUUAAAUUCCAUAGACUUUUUUUUGAUUUCAACUUUCCAAGAAGCAACAAUUCAAGAGAUCUGGAUUCCGGACUUAGGCGGUGGGAGGUGGAGUUUUAGUUGGAGGCGUCAACUAUUUGUUUGGGAAGUUAAUCUCCUUGAUGAGUUGUUGGGGGUGUAGGAGAGUUUUGUGUUGGGUGGGGUGGAGGAUGAAUGGCGGUGGAAGUUGGAGGAAGACGACACCUUCUCGGUGAAAUCUAUGUAUCUCAAAUUGGAGGGGAGAUGGUUGGCGGAGGUAGUGUGUCCAGAGGGCGAGAGGAGAGUGUUUAGACAAAUUUGGAAGACCGGGGCACCGUCCAAGGUGAGGGCCUUUGUUUGGAAAGCUCUUCUUGAUCGGAUUCCGACGCGUGUUAAUUUGGGAAUUCGGAAUUGUUUACCUCCCGGUGUUGGAAGUAAUUGUGUUCAUUCUACGGAUUUCUCCGAGUCUACCUCACAUCUCUUCCUUCAUUGUGAUUUGGCCCGGAAUGUUUGGUUGAGUUUGAUGUCUUGGUUGGAUUUGAAUUUUAUAAUGCCUUCGAACCUUUUUAUCCAUUGGGAGUGUUGGAGUGGGGGUCCUUUUCAUAAGAAAGUUCGGAACGAGUUGCGGAUGAUUUGGAGGUCGGGAUUUGGGUGAUUUGGAAGGCUAGAAAUGAGUGCAAUUUUAAUAAUGCUAUUGCUAGAUAGGAUGAGUUAGUGGAGGAGGUUAAAGUGAUGUCUUGGAGAUGGUUGCUAGGUAGAUCAAAUUCUACGGUUUGCUUGUUUUAUGAGUGGAGUUGGGGUCCUCGAGAAUGCCUUUUGAGGUAAGGUUGCGGCUGUCCUUUGGUGUUUGUGCGUGUCUGGCUGUUGGGGGGCCUGUGGCUUCGGUUUUUGGCCUGCUGUCAUGACAGAACAGCAGCUGUUGGUGCUGUUUCUGUCGGAUGCGCAGCUGGUUUUUGGGCCUGUUUUGGCCGUGGUAGGUGCUGCCUGCUUGGGGUAAUUGCUUGGGGCUUUUCAGGAGGCGUAGUGGCUUAGCUAUGGGCUUGAAUUUUGGUGCUGUUAUUAGAUUUCAAAGUCAUAGCAGUAGCCAUGCUAUUUGGUUUUGUUCGUUAUGGGGCUUCUUCGCCGUCUUCGUGUUGGAAGUGGUGGAGCAGUUUUAUUUUGGGUGGAUGUUAUGCCUAUAGGCGGCAUUUUUGUAUUGUUCCUUUUGCCACCUCUUUGCAUCUUGCGAGAGCUUCGGCUUAGUAAAUUUUGCCGAUUAAAAAAAAAAACUAAGGAAAGAGAUAUAAUACACCAUUACUAUCCAAGAAAUUCGGAAGUCUUGUAUGUUGUUUAUACCUUAAACUCUAUGUACGUGUGUAGCACCCCUGCAUAUGUUUAUCCCAUUUGCUCAGUUUUGUUAAAGAGUGUCUAUAACACUAUAGCGUAGAGAAAUAUGAACAAAUCACUAUUGUUACUGUUACAUGCGAUACCUAUUUAUCACAAAAUAUCGUCAAUUAACAGCUAUUGCGGCACUAUAACACUGUUGCAUAGCGGAUAAUGCAUAAACUGCUAUUUUCCAUGAUCCGUGAUUGACAACACUGCAUUUGCUUGUCCAUUUAUGCAGCCUUUGUAUGCUUGUUUAUUACAUUUAUAUGUCCUUUAUACAACUUGACUACAAAAAUAUUUUUGAGAUCAAAAUUUUGAUGUCAAGCAGUGUCCUAUGGUUUUUGUGUGUGUUUUUUUGAAAUGAGUGUAAGUUGUAAAAGAUCAAAAGUAAGUGAGAGAUAGAGAUAAACACAUAUUGUGUCACACGGUGUCUGUAUUUUGAUGUUCAAAUAUUACAACUGCUUAACUAAUGAGUAUUUGUUUAAUUUCACAGCUCAAAUGCUGUUACUUGCUAGUGAAUUCAAAGGAGAAGCAGACAAGGUGCUUAUUGUUAAAAAGGCAGAAGCAGAAGCCGAAUCAAAGUUUUUAGGCGGGGUUGGUGUGGCCAGGUAGAGGCAAGCUAUCACAGAGGGCUUGAGAGAGAACAUCUUGCAAUUCUCUAACAAGGUGAAGGAACUUCAGCAAAGGAAGUGAUGGAUCUUAUCAUGAUUACUCAGUACUUCGACACAAUCAGAUACCUUGGAAACAAUUCAAAGAAUACCACAGUUUUUAUACCUCAUGGACCUGGCCAUGUUAGGGAUAUUGGUGAUCAAAUUCGCAACGGUAUGAUGGAAGCAUCGUGUGCUCAAGUUACUGAUGCC
rnacentral:lncRNA from 1 species